UAGUCCACGCCCUAAACGAUGCUUACUCGGUGUUUGGGCCUUGAGCUUGAGCACCUAAGGGAAACCAAUAAGUAACCCACCUGGGGAGUACGUUCGCAAGAAUGAAACUCAAAGGAAUUGACGGGGGCCCGCACAAGCGGUGGAGCAUGUGGUUUAAUUCGAUGAUACGCGAGGAACCUUACCAGGGCUUAAAUGUAGAGUGACAGAUCUAGAGAUAGAUUUUUUCUUCGGACACUUUACAAGGUGCUGCAUGGUUGUCGUCAGCUCGUGCCGUGAGGUGUCAGGUUAAGUCCUAUAACGAGCGCAACCCCUGUUGUUAGUUGCCAGCAUGUAAAGAUGGGAACUCUAACAAGACUGCCGGUGCAAACCGUGAGGAAGGUGGGGAUGACGUCAAAGUCAUCACGGCCCUUACGUCCUGGGCUACACACGUGCUACAAUGGUAGGUACAGAGAGCAGCCAUGUCGCGAGGCAGAGCGAAUCUAUAAAACCUAUCACAGUUCGGAUCGGAGU
rnacentral:rRNA from 1 species